AGUCCCGCAAAUACUCAAAGUGCAAAUUUGAGGCAGCACCCCAAAGGGUGCCGGGGCUUC
rnacentral:tRNA from 1 species